CAUGAUAUAGGAUAUAUGAAAAUGAUACUAUUGCUUUUGAUAUAUGGUCUUGUGUGGCUCAAUUAUCUUAAAGAAUGAAAUGUUUUUUACCUACUGGAUGAAGUCCUUUAUCUAUUCAUCGUUAUUAAUGGUGCAGGAAACCCUCAGUUUUUAUUUCCUGUGCACUCUCUCUACUGCUUGCAAUAGUUCUGCUAGCUCUGGUCUCUGCUCGCAGAACAGAUUCAGAAUGUGAGGAUGAUUAUGAGCAUAUUAGAGGUAGAACUUGGGAGCCACUCCUAAAUCAAUCAGGUCAAACAUCUGGCGCAGGGAAUCAAUCAGACGUCUGGAGCUCGCGGAUGAGAGAGAAAGCACUUUCAUUUUAGGCCAUAUAUCAUUCUCUGGUUCAGAAUCGGCCUGGACUGUCCUUCAAAAGGGCUGGUUAAGGUUUGCCCUUUUGGUUAAUCGGUUGUCCAGUUCACAAUUUGAACUGGUUGAAAAAAUGGAAAAUUGUUGGGCCCAGAAACUAGGCAGGAAACAUGAGAGGGAGGUGUGCCAACUAAUUUGAAAGAUCUUUGGUAUGCAUGCUGAAGUGCCAAGCGAGUUUGAGGACCAAUUUUGCACUGGGUUUUAUGAACUGUCUAUAUAAAGAGCAAUUAUAACUACGUUUUGUGAACUGUCCUCAUAAAUACCGACUCUGGGAGGUUCUGUUUCAUGGAUGGUGCUUAUUUCAUCCAUAGACAUAAUGGGUAGAGGUAUUUUUAUGGGUUUGUUUGAUUCUCUUUGGAUUUGUGACUUGCCACUCUUCCAGACCACCUGCUCUCAUUUCUAUAUGCACCAAAAAUGUUUUUCUCUAA